GGGAUCGUUGCUAUAGAGGUGCGCUUUUCCGUUUUGUUUAGUUUUGAAGGAUCAUAUCCUUCUUGAUUGUUCUUUGAAAACUGGAUAACGGAAAGACAUUCACUAUUAGAUCGCUCAUGUCCGGAAGAACCGGUUAAGUUACAAAGGGCGCAGCUUGGAUGCCUUGCCUCUCUGAGCCUAUGAAGGACGGGACAAACACCGSAUUGCUUCGGGGAGCUGUUAGUAACCUUCGAUCCGGACAUGUCCAAAUGGGCAGACCCGGAGCGACGGCCUCUGGCCUGUAUGGGCGGCUCUUUCUGAGGUUUUGCUCAGGUUAGGCGUCAACGCAGAGAGAUGGGCCCGUAGCUCAGUUGGUUAGAGCACACGCUUGAUAAGCGUGGGGUCGGAAGUUCAAGUCUUCCCGGGCCCACCAUUUGCACCGGCAAAUGAGGUUUGCUGUAGCGAAUUGUGGUUUGUUUGGGUUUACCUGAUCCUGGCGGUUUGCUGUCAGGUGUUUGCGAUGGUUGGGGCUGUAGCUCAGCUGGGAGAGCACCUGCUUUGCAAGCAGGGGGUCAGCGGUUCGAUCCCGCUCAGCUCCACCAAUUCGCUUGGUGUCGAGACUGAGAGAUAUCCUUUGAAGAAAUAAAAGUUUUGCACCGGCUUCGAGCUGUUGCGUGUUCUGCAUACAUUGUGAAGAGAAGAUUGAUCUGGAGGCUUCCAGGUGUUGUGGGUUUUGCCCAUGAUGUCCGAGCCCAGUUCCUGUGAAACCAUGGAUGGCCUAGCCGCCGGAUGUGGUGGAGGGAUUGGAGGUAGGUAGGAAGCUUGUCGCUCUGGAUCGUCCAGCGUAAACCGCGUAGCGGUUUAUCGCGUGUUGUUCGUUGCCUUUGGGCAUCGUCUGACGGACGAUCGGAUUACCGUUGCCUGACCGCGCGGUAUCGGAUCCCAUCUCGAGAAGCUGGUCUAAGACAGGCUGCAGCGAGCUGCUCGGCGUAGCUCAUAAGCAGACCUGUCGACCCGUUA
rnacentral:misc_RNA from 1 species